rnacentral:tRNA from 1 species
UCCCUAUAGCUCAGAUGGUAAAGAAUCCGCCUGCAAUGCAGAAGACCCAGGUUCAAUCCCUGGGUUGGGAA